UAGGGAAUCUUCCGCAAUGGACGCAAGUCUGACGGAGCAACGCCGCGUGAGUGAAGAAGGAUUUCGGUUCGUAAAACUCUGUUGUUAGAGAAGAACAGCGCAUAGAGUAACUGUUAUGCGUGUGACGGUAUCUAACCAGAAAGCCACGGCUAACUACGUGCCAGCAGCCGCGGUAAUACGUAGGUGGCAAGCGUUGUCCGGAUUUAUUGGGCGUAAAGCGAGCGCAGGCGGUCAAGUAAGUCUGAUGUGAAAGCCCCCGGCUCAACCGGGGAGGGUCAUUGGAAACUGGUUGACUUGAGUGCAGAAGAGGAGAGUGGAAUUCCAUGUGUAGCGGUGAAAUGCGUAGAUAUAUGGAGGAACACCAGUGGCGAAGGCGACUCUCUGGUCUGUAACUGACGCUGAGGUUCGAAAGCGUGGGUAGCAAACAGG
rnacentral:rRNA from 1 species